AGAGUUUGAUCAUGGCUCAGAGCGAACGCUGGCGGCAGGCCUAACACAUGCAAGUCGAACGGAUCCUUCGGGAUUAGUGGCGGACGGGUGAGUAACACGUGGGAACGUGCCCUUUGGUUCGGAACAACUCAGGGAAACUUGAGCUAAUACCGGAUGUGCCCUUCGGGGGAAAGAUUUAUCGCCAUUGGAGCGGCCCGCGUUGGAUUAGCUAGUUGGUAGGGUAAAGGCCUACCAAGGCGACGAUCCAUAGCUGGUCUGAGAGGAUGAUCAGCCACACCGGAACUGAGACACGGUCCGGACUCCUACGGGAGGCAGCAGUGGGGAAUAUUGGACAAUGGGCGAAAGCCUGAUCCAGCAAUGCCGCGUGAGUGAUGAAGGCCUUAGGGUUGUAAAGCUCUUUUACCCGGGAUGAUAAUGACAGUACCGGGAGAAUAAGCUCCGGCUAACUCCGUG
rnacentral:rRNA from 1 species